CAGUAAAUAGUUUAAUUAAAAUAUUAAUUUUGGGGAUUUAAGUUAAGCCUAUAGCUUUUUACUGA
rnacentral:tRNA from 1 species